UUUUGAUCCUGGCUCAGGAUGAACGCUAGCGGCAGGCUUAAUACAUGCAAGUCGUGGGGCAGCAGGGGUAGCAAUACCCGCUGGCGACCGGCAAACGGGUGCGGAACACGUACGCAACCUUCCUUUAACUGGAGAAUAGCCCCUCGAAAGAGGGAUUAAUACUUCGUAACAUAUACAUGUGGCAUCACAAGUAUAUUAUAGCUCCGGCGGUUAAAGAUGGGCGUGCGCCUGAUUAGAUAGUUGGCGGGGUAACGGCCCACCAAGUCUGCGAUCAGUAACUGGUGUGAGAGCACGACCAGUCACACGGGCACUGAGACACGGGCCCGACUCCUACGGGAGGCAGCAGUAAGGAAUAUUGGUCAAUGGACGCAAGUCUGAACCAGCCAUGCCGCGUGGAGGAUUAAGGCCCUCUGGGUUGUAAACUCCUUUUAUCUGGGAAGAAAUGCAUUUUUUCUAAAGUGCUUGACGGUACCAGAGGAAUAAGCACCGGCUAACUCCGUGCCAGCAGCCGCGGUAAUACGGAGGGUGCAAGCGUUAUCCGGAUUCACUGGGUUUAAAGGGUGCGUAGGCGGGCAAGUAAGUCCGUGGUGAAAUCUCUGAGCUUAACUCAGAAACUGCCAUGGAUACUAUUUGUCUUGAAUAUUGUGGAGGUGAGCGGAAUAUGUCAUGUAGCGGUGAAAUGCUUAGAUAUGACAUAGA
rnacentral:rRNA from 1 species